UACAGAGGGUGCGAGCGUUAAUCGGAAUAACUGGGCGUAAAGGGUGCGUAGGUGGCACGCUAAGUCAGAUGUGAAAUCCCCGGGCUUAACCUGGGAACUGCAUUUGAAACUGGCGAGCUAGAGUAGAGUAGAGGAGAGUGGAAUUUCUGGUGUAGCGGUGAAAUGCGUAGAUAUCAGAAGGAACACCAGUGGCGAAGGCGACUCUCUGGACUCAUACUGACACUGAGGCACGACAGCGUGGGGAGCAAACAGGAUUAGAUACCCUGGUAGUCCACGCCGUAAACGAUGAUAACUAGAUGUCAGGGUCAUUGCGACUUUGGUAUCGAAGCUAACGCAUUAAGUUAUCCGCCUGGGAAGUACGGCCGCAAGGUUG
rnacentral:rRNA from 1 species